CCAGCUAAGGUCCCAAAGUCAUGGUUAAGUGGGAAACGAUGUGGGAAGGCCCAGACAGCCAGGAUGUUGGCUUAGAAGCAGCCAUCAUUUAAAGAAAGCGUAAUAGCUCACUGGUCGAGUCGGCCUGCGCGGAAGAUGUAACGGGGCUAAACCAUGCACCGAAGCUGCGGCAGCGACGCUGAUGCGUUGUUGGGUAGGGGAGCGUUCUGUAAGCCUGUGAAGGUGGCCUGUGAGGGUUGCUGGAGGUAUCAGAAGUGCGAAUGCUGACAUAAGUAACGAUAAAGCGGGUGAAAAGCCCGCUCGCCGGAAGACCAAGGGUUCCUGUCCAACGUUAAUCGGGGCAGGGUGAGUCGACCCCUAAGGCGAGGCCGAAAGGCGUAGUCGAUGGGAAACGGGUUAAUAUUCCCGUACUUGGUGUUACUGCGAAGGGGGGACGGAGAAGGCUAUGUUGGCCGGGCGACGGUUGUCCCGGUUUAAGCGUGUAGGUGUGUGUUCCAGGUAAAUCCGGUUCACUUUAACACUGAGGCGUGAUGACGAGGCACUACGGUGCUGAAGCAACAAAUGCCCUGCUUCCAGGAAAAGCCUCUAAGCAUCAGGUAACAUCAAAUCGUACCCCAAACCGACACAGGUGGUCAGGUAGAGAAUACCAAGGCGCUUGAGAGAACUCGGGUGAAGGAACUAGGCAAAAUGGUGCCGUAACUUCGGGAGAAGGCACGCUGACAC
rnacentral:rRNA from 1 species